AGUUGCAGAUAGAGGAUCUCAGCUCCCAGUCCCGGAAGUUAGAAAAAGAACAGCAAGUGAGCUCACAGGGGAAGGAAGGGAAAUGUGAGCUAAGAUGAGAAAUGAGCAGAUAGGAGUUUCCAGGGGCACCAUUUUCCUAAUUAAAGACCAACCAGCUCUUUUUUUGACUCUGGCACUUCAGUGUUCCAGUCACUGGUCCAGCUCUGAACACAAGGUGCACAGUCCACCGGGGCGUUAGACCAGCGCAUCAGUAAUUCAGCACAAGCACAGGAGAGCAACACUUUCAGGAGGGCAACAGUUUUCAGAAGGCUGACAAUGAAGCAAGUCACGUGUGAGCUGCCCGCCGGUCCGGCAGGUUUCGUGAGCGGGCAUCGGGGAGCAGGUGCAGGGCCUCGCUCCGUGUGCGCGCCUGACACUGGGCUGCGCGCCGGCGUGAUGCCUGCACCACAACUCCGCGGACCCCUUCCCAUCUUCAAGAGCCAAUGUGCGGUCGUGCGGUCUUCCUGUGACCACCCCGGCCCCACGCCCCCCGGCCCAGGAAGCUGUGCAAGCGCAGAUGCAGACAGGGGAGGAUUUGUCCAUUCUAUUCCUUUGCUGAAUUUUACCUUGACUUUGUGUAAGACUGUAGCUUAAACUAUAUCUUGGACAGAACUUCUGAUCUGGAGAAGAUGGUAUAGACUUGUUUCUUCCUGCUCUUGCCAUGAAGGACAACUGGAAACCCUGGAAGUCAUGCAGGAAGUGACCAGAGAACUUUGAGGUAUGGCUAGAGAAAGGGAGGGUGGUUUGUUACCCCAGGACUGGAGGAAGAGAACAGCAUAGGGCAUCUUAUAUACCCACACUGAUCUGAAGAAUUUCCAGACCCCAAGCCUAACACCACAACAAAGUAAAGAGAGGCUAGUUCUUCCCCUGGUUCUGACAGCAUUUCCUCCCCAUGACAUGCCAGGUAAGCAUGGCUCUGCCAGUGGCAAGGAGGAUAGACUCAGAACCCUGCCAACAGCCAGAGCCACCCUACCUCCUCACUGCCUGACGUUCCCCUCUCCUACCAAGAAUACAGGGCAGUAUUGAGCCACUGGCAAGAGAGGCCUGCCAUGCCAAGUGGCUCAGUCCUGGAUCCCCUAAGUCUCCAGGGCCUAAAGCUUUCCCCUCCUCACCAAGAGACAGAGGGGAUCCAAGGGACACCAGCACCGGGGUCCUGUCACAACUAACACCCAGCUAGAAAAGUAACUUUGUUCCAGUGGAUCUGAGGAUUCUCAUUAUCUCUGACAUGCAAGUGGCAAACAUCAUCAUUCCAGGAACCAGGACAACUCAGCUUGAAUAUGAAGGCAAUCAAUGGAUGCUGAGACCGAGAUGAGUCAGAUUUUGGAAUCAUCUGACAAAGAUCUUAAAGCAUCUGUCAUUUUUAAAAAAUGCUUCAGAAAACUAUUACAAAUUCUCUUAAAACAAAUGAAAAAAGAGAAAAUGUCAGCAAUGGGAGUUUUAGGCCUUCAGUCUUGAUGUCUGUUACUAAGCUGCAUCUAUAAACUUCAUAGGUAUCAAGGCUAUAAUUCUCUGAACUUUUUGGCAGCAGAACCCUCUCCUCUAUUUUUAAUAUAAAAUCUUGCAUAGAAUUUUAGGAUAUAAGAAAGAUAAGACUGGUGCUCUCUUUGGUUGAAGAGGAUGAACAGACCCCUUCUGUCUGUUUUUCUUGAGCUCCACCUGGGCACCUGCAUAGUCUCUUCUCUGGUACACAAAAUUCUGUAUAUAAUAAGAAAUGAUCUCAACUUGGUUUUAUUCACAUAGUGCUGAAUUAGUAAACAUUCCAAAAAGAUUUUAAAGUGAAGGUAGUCAGAAGCAGCACGGUUGGUUCUAUGAUUUAAUAUUGAGUUAGUGGCUGGCUUAUUAUAGCACGAACUCAUACAUGAUAGACAUUCUGUAUGAAUAAAUAAUUGUAGCUGGAUAUAAAGAAAAGACAAGACAAAGUUGUCUCAGCAGAGACAUAGAAGUUAUACAACAGAUCCAAAUGGAAAUUAUAGAACUGACAAAACAUAAUGACAGAAAUUAGAAACAAAAAUCACUGGAUGGGCAAUAGUUGAGUGGCAAUGACAGAGGAUAGAUUCAGGGAUCUCAGGACAGAGAAAUAGAAUUCACCAUCUGAACAGAGAAAAAAAGACUGAACAAAAAGUGAGUAAAUGAGUAGUCUAGGGACCUGUGGGACUCCAAUGGAAGAUCCAAUGCUUGCAUCAUUAGCGUCCCAGAGGGGGAAGAGAGCAGGGCUGAAGGAGUACCCAAGAAAUAAUGACAUCCCAAAUAUGGCAAAAAAACCAAGACAAACAAAACAAAAACACAAACUUACAGAUUCAAGAGAUUGAAAAAUUCCAACAGAAUAAAACCAAAGAAAUCCACACCAAAACAAAUAAUUAAAAUUCUGAAAACUAAAGACAAAAUAUCUUGAAAGCAGCCAGAGAGAAAAAACACAUUGCUUAUAGGAAAACACCAAUUCAAAUGACUGGAUUUCUCCUCUGAAACAAUGGAGGACAGAGGGAAAUAGUAUAAUACCCUUCCCUUUCCUCCCCUCCCAUUUCCUCCCCUCCCAUCUUUCUUUCCCUUCCUUCCUUCCUUUCUUUCUUUCUUUCUUUCUUCCUUUCUUUCUUUCUUUCUUUCUUUCUUUCUUUCUUUCUUUCUUUCUUUCUUUCUUUCUUUCUUUCUUUCCUCCCUCCCUCCCUCCCUCC
ensembl:lncRNA